CCUGCGCAUUAAUUGCUUGCCCAGAAACAGAGAAUACGGUUUUCAUUUGAUUUGGUUCGAUGGCAGCCAAUUAUAGGACUAGUCUCCAUCAAAGGACCAUUCACCAACCAAAAUGUAUGAAAUGAUGUGCCCACGACCACUGCGGCUAAAGAUUGAUUACCAGGAAUGCAAAUGUUGGGGAGUGUCUUGAUUUGAAGAGAGAAGUACGGAAAACCAAUGACCAACACAUAAAAUAUUUCAUUGGAAGAUAAACAACCAUCAAGGAAAAUGAAUCCUUGUCUUCAUUUUCUUUCCAUCUUACAGAAUAAAUUAUGCAGAAACAACCCAACUUCUCAUGCACUCAUAGAAGCUCAACAUAGCUCUAUUUCAGGUUUUUCAACAGAUUGGUAUGACCCAAAUAUCAGCAGUCCCAUCUUUGGACACGUGUAUAUAUAUAUAUAUAUAUAUAUAUUACAUAUGAUAAGUAAAAAAAUUAGUUUNUGUAUAUAUAUAUAUAUAUAUAUAUAUUACAUAUGAUGAAAAAAAAUUGUUAAUUUUUUAAAGCCAUAAGGUACAAAUUGAUGUGCACAUAUUGGGUUAGAGUGUAACAUGAGGUUGGUAUACUCUUCUCCGAGCAG
rnacentral:lncRNA from 1 species